CGACCUGGUCGAAUCUAGUAGGCGGAACGGGUAGGAGUAACGACGUAGGGUACCUAGCCCAUCAGAGGGGGAGUAACAAUUCGUAAACGGAAUAGCUAAAACCGACAUAGGUUCUUGAGUCGCAUGACCCGACGAAGGAAAAGAGGCUUCGGCUUCUGCUGAUGGAUGGACCCGCGGUGCAUUAGCUAGUUGGUGAGGUAACGGCUCACCAAGGCCGUGAUGCAUAGCCGACCUGAGAGGGUGAUCGGCCACAUUGGGACUGAGACACGGCCCAAACUCCUACGGGAGGCAGCAGUAGGGAAUCUUCCGCAAUGGACGCAAGUCUGACGGAGCAACGCCGCGUGAGUGGAGAAGGAUUUCGGUUCGUAAAACUCUGUUGUUAGAGAAGAACAGCGCAUAGAGUAACUGUUAUGCGUGUGACGGUAUCUAACCAGAAAGCCACGGCUAACUACGUG
rnacentral:rRNA from 1 species